rnacentral:tRNA from 1 species
GGAAAAUUGGGGGAGAGGCUUAACCCAUCAUCUUGGAAAGGUGACGGCCCUUAACAGGGCCCGCGAGUUCGAAUCUCGCAUUUUCCGCAA